GAGCGUGUGCAGAUGAUCCAAUGACCGUCUUUUACCCCAUGGAUCACCAGGGUUGAUUCUCCUGACCUGAUUGGCUGGGCUGGUGUCCCAUUCCUCCCUCACUGCUCCCUGUGCAUCACCCUGCAAAGCUGCACUUUCUCAAACAGAAGAGGACCAGUCUUCAGUCAAGGGUAUCCAAGCAGCUGUGCUCUCCUGCUGGAACCGCCUCUAGCAGUUCAGGCUCUCAAUGAAGGAGAGCCAUCGGCCAACAUAAUGAAAACUGUU
rnacentral:snRNA from 1 species